CUACGGGACGCAGCAGUGGGGAAUAUUGGACAAUGGGGGAAACCCUGAUCCAGCAAUGCCGCGUGUGUGAAGAAGGCCUGCGGGUUGUAAAGCACUUUCGGUUGGGAGGACUGCUUCUAGCAUUAAUAUUGUUGGAAGUUGACGUUACCUUCAGAAGAAGCACCGGCUAACUCCGUGCCAGCAGCCGCGGUAAUACGGAGGGUGCAAGCGUGAAUCGGAAUUACUGGGCGUAAAGCGCGCGUAGGCGGCUAGAUCAGUCGGGUGUGAAAGCCCCGGGCUUAACCUGGGAACUGCAUCCGAUACUGUCUAGCUUGAGUACAGGAGAGGAGAGUGGAAUUCCACAUGUAGCGGUGAAAUGCGUAGAUAUGUGGAGGAACACCAAUGGCGAAGGCAGCUCUCUGGCCUGAUACUGACGCUGAGGUGCGAAAGCGUGGGGAGCAAACAGGAUUAGAUACCCUAGUAGUC
rnacentral:rRNA from 1 species